rnacentral:rRNA from 1 species
AUUGAACGCUGGCGGCAGGCCUAACACAUGCAAGUCGAGCGGAUGAAGGGAGCUUGCUCCUGGAUUCAGCGGCGGACGGGUGAGUAAUGCCUAGGAAUCUGCCUCGUUGGGGUGGGUGACGUCCGGAGACGGGCGCUAAUACCGCCUACGUCCUGAGGGAGAAAGUGGGGGAUCUUCGGACCUCACGCUAUCAGAGGAGCCUAGGUCGGAUUUGCUAGUUGGUGGGGUAAAGGCCUACCAAGGCGACGAUCCGUGACUGGUCUGAGAGGAUGAUCAGUCACACUGGAACUGGGACACGGCCCAGGCUCCUACGGUAGGCAGCAGUGGGGAAUAUUGGACAAUGGGCGGAAGCCUGAUCCAGCCAUGCCGCGUGUGUGAAGAAGGUCUUCGGAUUGUAAAGCACUUUAAGUGGGGAGGAAGGGCAGUAAGUUAAUACCUUGCUGUUUUGACGUUACCAACAGAAUAAGCACCGGCUAACUUCGUG